rnacentral:rRNA from 1 species
UACGGAGGGGGCUAGCGUUGUUCGGAAUUACUGGGCGUAAAGCGCACGUAGGCGGUUUCUCAAGUCAGGGGUGAAAGCCCGGAGCUCAACUCCGGAAUUGCCUUUGAAACUAGGUGACUUGAAUCAUGGAGAGGUCAGUGGAAUUCCGAGUGUAGAGGUGAAAUUCGUAGAUAUUCGGAAGAACACCAGUGGCGAAGGCGGCUGACUGGACAUGUAUUGACGCUGAGGUGCGAAAGCGUGGGGAGCAAACAGG